AUACGUACAUGCUGGUUUCUAGCUCCGAAGGCUAAUUUUGCAUGAAUUUUAAAGGUGCCUCCACUCAACUGAAUUUCUGCAAAAAACCGCGUGGAUGACCCUAGGAUUCUUCGGUGUCGGUCAAAUAUCUGGUGUAGACGUUGUGUUAGCUGUGAGGACGGACAGUGCCCCCACCCCGGCAGCCAGUAGCCGAUUUGUGAAAAACUGUAGUGUGCCCCCUUAAGGUGUAGACGUUGUGUUAGCUGUGAGGACGGACAGUGCCCCCACCCCGGCAGCCAGUAGCCGAUUUGUGAAAAACUGUAGUGUGCCCCCUUUC